rnacentral:tRNA from 1 species
GCGGGUGUAGUUUAAUGGUAAAAUUUUUCCCUUCCAAGGAAAGGUUGGCGGUUCGACUCCGCUCACCCGCU